rnacentral:rRNA from 1 species
GUCUAUAGGCAUACCACCCUGAACACGCCCAGUUGUGUCUGAUCUCAGAAGCUAAGCAGGGUGAGGCCUGGUUAGUAUUUGGAUGGCAGAAAGGUACAAAUUUUAAAACU